UACGAAGGGGGCUAGCGUUGUUCGGAAUCACUGGGCGUAAAGCGCACGUAGGCGGCUUGGCAAGUCGGAUGUGAAAGCCCACGGCUCAACCAUGGAAGUGCAUCCGAAACUGCUGAGCUUGAGUACUUAAGAGGAUCGCGGAAUUCCCGGUGUAGAGGUGAAAUUCGUAGAUAUCGGGAGGAACACCAGUGGCGAAGGCGGCGAUCUGGGAAGAUACUGACGCUGAGGUGCGAAAGCGUGGGGAGCAAACAGG
rnacentral:rRNA from 1 species